GCAGCAGCCUGGGUUGUCGCGCGGCCUCUAUGAGGAGUGAGGAAAGUCCGGACACCACAGGACGCGUAACCGGGUAACGCCCGGGCAUCUCAAUGCAGAUGACGGAAAGUGCCGCAGAAAAUAUACCGCCUCUCGGGGUAAGGGUGAAAAGGCGAGGUAAGAGCUCACCGCAUAGCUGGCAACAGCAAUGGCAGGGUAAACCCUUGCGGGUGCAAUUCCAAGUAGGCAGUCGCACAGGCUGGUCCGGCCUUGGCUGCGGGUAGGAAGCAAAGAAUCAGUCAGCGAUGAUUGAUCAAGAUAAAUGACAACUCUCGACAGAAUCCGGCUUACAGGGCUGCUGCUUUC
rnacentral:RNase_P_RNA from 1 species